UACGUAGGCGGAAAAUUAAGUCAGUGAUGAAAUCCUGCAGCUUAACUGUAGAACUGUUAUUGAUACUGAUUUUCUUGAAUAUAGUUGAGGUAGGCGGAAUGUGUAAUGUAGCGGUGAAAUGCUUAGAUAUUACACAGAACACCGAUUGCGAAGGCAGCUUACUAAGCUAUUAUUGACGCUGAGGCACGAAAGCGUGGGGAGCGAACAGGAUUAGAUACCCUGGUAGUCC
rnacentral:rRNA from 1 species